GCCAGCAGCUAUAUCACCCUGCAACUCGCAGCUGCCAACCCACUGAAGCUAAAUAGGUGUGAGCCUGGCUAGUACCUUGAUGGGACCCCCUGGGAAUAACUAAGGUUGCUGAUC
rnacentral:rRNA from 1 species